UACGUAGGGAGCAAGCGUUGUCCGGAAUCAUUGGGCGUAAAGCGUGCGUAGACGGUUAUGUAAGUCAGAUGUGAAAGCCCCGGGCUUAACCUGGGAAUGGCAUUUGAGACUGCAUAGCUAGGGUGCGGAAGAGGGAAGCGGAAUUUCCGGUGUAGCGGUGAAAUGCGUAGAUAUCGGAAGGAACACCAGUGGCGAAAGCGGCUUCCUGGUCCAGCACCGACGUUCAGGCACGAAAGCGUGGGGAGCAAACAGG
rnacentral:rRNA from 1 species